CAAACCUAGACCAAUUAUAUAGAUAUAUAUUCAAGAAAAUGUUUAAAAAUCAACUUUUAAAAUUAUAAUUUAACAUAUGCAUGUUAAAUAUGUUGCCCUCACAAAGUUAAAUUGUGGCCCUUGACUGACAGUACUGUGUUAUAAGUUAAUGCUAAGAAUAUGAAACCUGAUUAACUCUUUGAAUGUUACAAAUGACUAUAAACAGAAGGAGUGCUUCAAGUCCAUCAUCAGCAAAAAGGAAGCAGUUCAGUGUUUCAUUCACCUGAAAUGUUUAAAAGAAAGACUGAAGUAUACAACACAUCAAUCAAGGUAAUUUGAAGAUAAAUUAAGUGAACUUCAGUUGAAGAAAAAGAUAUUCUAACAAGAAAGUUACCACUGCCCAGGCCAUUUUGUGUUUCAAAGCCUCUAGGUUGGUUUCCAUUUCACUCACAAACGCAAUACUUUUGUAGCGCUCCUCUUUCUCGACAUAGUGCUGCUUAAGAUCUUGAAGACGCUAAAAAAAAGUAAAAAGAUUCAGAUGUUAAUGAGAGUAAAGGAUUGUUGGUCUAA